UACGAAGGGGCUAGCGUUGUUCGGAAUUACUGGGCGUAAAGCGCACGUAGGCGGAUAUUUAAGUCAGGGGUGAAAUCCCAGAGCUCAACUCUGGAACUGCCUUUGAUACUGGGUAUCUUGAGUAUGGAAGAGGUAAGUGGAAUUGCGAGUGUAGAGGUGAAAUUCGUAGAUAUUCGGAGGAACACCAGUGGCGUAAGGCGG
rnacentral:rRNA from 1 species